rnacentral:tRNA from 1 species
GCCGCGGUGGUGAAACUGGCAUACACGAGAGACUUAAAAUCUCUUGCUCGCAAGGGCGUGAGGGUUCGACCCCCUCCCGCGGCA